rnacentral:lncRNA from 1 species
AGAUAAAUGUGUUAUAACAUAGAGGAAAAUGUGUUAUAACACAGAGGGAAAGGUGUUAUAACAGUGAUAAAGGUGUUACAACACAGAGGUACAUUUGUUAUAACACAGAGAUAAAUGUGUUAUAACACAUAGGUAAAGGUGCUAUAACUCCUAAAUAAAGGUUCUAUUACUCAGAGAUAAAGGUUCUAUAACUCAGAGAUAAAGGUUCUAUUACUCAGAGAUAAAUGUUCUAUAACUCAGAGAUAAAGGUUCUAUAACUCAGAGAUAAAGGUUCUAUUACUCAGAGGUAAAGGUUCUAUAACUCAGAGAUAAAGGUUCUAUUACUCAGAGGUAAAGGUGUAACACAGAGGUGUAGAACAACAGUAAUGGUGGAACAUGAACCGAUAAACAAAGCCAGUGGUUUAUAUGCUCCUUGAGUUUUGUCCCCCUCAACUUCUCUCUUCUCUCCUCAGGAUGAAGAAGAAUGAAGCCUGUUUUGCAGCUCUACCGCCACGUUAAUCAUCACUUGUUGAAACAUUUAAAUAUACCCACAUUACAGUUCAAACAUAACACCAGUCAAAGCGAAUACCUUUGUACCAGUAUACCACAGAAUCUGUAAUGACAGUUUCAAGAGCAAUACGUGGAAUGUAGUUUGUUAACCAAACCCACCCUUUUGGGAAUUUACCAGGCUCUUAUUUUUCAGACGAGACCACUGUCAUUGCCCUGAAUGCCACCAUAUGACAAAGUUUGGCAAGAGAGUUUGACAGUUAUGAAUAAGACAUAUAAUUGGCAGCCUUCUAGCAGCCUGAAAGCUGUGGGGUUAAGACAGUUUGUCUCUUUAACCCGAGGCUUAGCAUGGAUAAAGUGAUAACAUAAGCCUGGCUGGAGAGAUAAAGUGGAACAGUCAACCUCUUGGUUGGACACUUCCCAGUUGUGCUGAUGUUUUGAUCAUCGCUCCUGCCCUCUGUUGAGGUAAGCUAGACAUCUACUGUUGGGUCUCAGGUCAAUGACCUUUAAGCAUUGGUACUUUUCUGAUUGUCUAAUUCUAAAUGUACAGUGUAUAAAAUCUUUAGAUACGCUGUCCCUCAAAUUGGUUUAUUUCAAAACGGGAGUAUGACGAAUUUGAGAGGAUCCGAGCAUGGCUGGGGAGAUUUGGACAGUCCAGUCUUUCUUAAUCCACAGAGAAGAUCACUGUUAUAAACCCUGCAUAAAAUCAGGAGACAAUGCUAGGUUGUUUUCUGUGUUGGCUUGACUUUCCCUUUUUUUCAAGUCAAACUGAAGACCAGAGAGCAGCCAGCUAGUAAAGCCUUCCCUUCCCCAGCCCAGGCCUCUCAAAACAAGCCUCUUUCUGUUGGGAAUCUCCAUGGAAACCAAGCAACUUACUUGAGGAGGGAUAUAAAACCUGCUCUUUGAGGGACUGAAGGAACACCUGCCACCUCUACAGAUGGGGGUCAAAAUAGACUGACACACUGCCACCUCAUAAUGAACAGAGGGUUGUGUAACAUUUAAAUGAGUCCCCGUCCCGAACAUCUGCUCAUCGUCAAUUACUUAUUCACUGAUAACUCCUAUUUUAUCUGUUAAAACAGACCCAAUCUUUACCGGAAAUCACUUGAUGCAAUAGUGUAGUCAUUCAUGAGUAUUGGUUCAGAUUGCAGAUCGGUUAAAAUGACAGUAAUAACUGAUAUGGACUGUUCAUCAUUCUAAGAUUGAAGAUGUUAGGUGCGUAAGGGAUUAGGGAAUCUGCAUCACUCUUGAAGUCCGAGAGCUCUGAAGGUUUUGAAAAUAAGAUAUUUGGUUGUGUGGCCGUUAGUUUGUACAUAAAAUGGGUUCCAUUGAAAUCCAGCAACUGCAUUUUUCUGAUAGCGACACCACACUAUCCCUUGGCUGUUACUGUCAAAGCAAAAACACCUGCAGAAUAGCCUCGCUGUUGUUAUUUUACUGCUGCUCUUUAAUUGUUACUGUUUUUUUAUUUUUUAAACUGCUGUCACGGCUGUUUAAAUGAUCGGACCAAAAUGCAGCGUCUGUUUCGUUCCACAUAUUUAUUAGAUCGUGAAACUUAAUGCAAUAUCAAAAUAAACUUAAGGACAAAACAACAAACCGUGACGCAGGAGGAACAAACACACUCACAAAACACAAGUGGGACAAACAUCAACUUAAAUAUGACCUCCAAUUAGAGACAACGACAAACGGCUGCCUCUAAUUAGAGGUCAUGCCAAACAAAAACCAACCUAGAAAUACAAAACUAGAAACUAAACAUAGAAAUACAAAAACGGACAAACACCCCCUGUCACGCCCUGACCUACUCUACCAUAGAAAAUAACAACUUACUAUGGUCAGGACGUGACAACUGCAUUGUUAGUUAAGUAAGCAUUUCACUGUAAGGUCUACACCUGUUGUAUUCAGCGCGUGUGACAAAUAACAUCUGAUUUGAUUUGAUUUGAUUUGAGAACCACGACAUAAAUAAAAUAAAAGUACUGUUAACCACACCUACAUUACUGGGAUUGUUAGCCACUCCGUCUUUUUGUAACCUUGAUUUUUAGGGCUAAUUGCCCUGACUUUCCAGAGUUCAGGGGUCAAACAGUUUCCCAACAAGCAUUAGGGAACAACAACAAACAAAUACUGUGUGUAGUCACACAGGAAUUCAAUCAACUAUUCAGAUUUUGCGAUUCAAAGGAAUCUCCUUCAAGUGUUACAAUCACUAUAAACAAAUCUUGUCCACCACCACUAUCACUAUCAAUACAGUGAGUCCCUCACAUUUCACAAGGCCCCAUCAACAAGUAGCAUGCAGGGGUCAUCCAUCCAGC